UUUCCUUACUCUUUUUUUAUUUCUUCUUCUUUAUUUUGUUUUGGUUGUUUUGGCAGAGACACUUUCUAUCUCUCUCUCUCGGCUGCUUUCUCUCUUUCAUUUUUUUUAUUUUCAAGACACAAAACUCUUGAUGCACCACAUUUAGAGUUAGAAUCUCACCCUAGUCCUUUAGGCCAAAAUGAUGAGCUUGUUGAGGACAUCGUUUUGACUGGUGGAGAUUGAAUUUCGGGAAGAUUGAUUUUUGGAGCUUUUUUCCUCUUCUCUUCUAAAGUGAUGAAAGUGUUAUAUGGAGGUAAUGCGUUCCUUCCGGUUAGCACACGGUAAAGCAGGCGGAUGUGCUAUAUAGAGGUAGAAAGUUGGAGUUUGUUUCACGACUAAGAUGUCCCAUUAAAUGUGGCCAAAAGGCCUGAUCCCUGUAGGCGGGAUGCCAUUUUGUUGUAAGAGGGUUAAUCCCUCUCAUCUCAUUUUCUUAGUUUUUUUUCUUAAUGUAAGCCCAAGGGCACUUGAAAUUAUUUGUGUUGGUCACGCCACCAUUGUGUAUUUAUACGAGAGAGAACCUCGAUUGAUUUAA